GGGUUUUUUAAUUCACUGGCUUUAUCGCCUGAUACAACGCCAGAUGAAGUCGGUAAAUUAUAAGUUGGAUCCCUGCCCAGAAGACCUAAAACAACCGGAACAGGAGAUGACAUUAUUGCUUGGUUCUUUCCCCUACGCCGAGAGGUCCCAGCUCCAGUUUGUGACUUUCCAAUUUGCCCUUUACUUUGCAUCUGUGCAGAUGGAUAUCUGGGAGCAGUUUGAGCCAGAGUAGUAACAGAGGGCAAAGGAAGCGGUAACUGUGAAUUCAAAACAACCCCAGCGCCCAAAUUAGUGUUUCCACUGUUUGAAGCGGAACCUGAAAUGGCUGAUGGUGUGUUGAUAACAGAGUAUUGUUACAGGAGUCAUGAGUUGAAUGGUGCAGCAGAAUAAUGGAUUAGCAUGGAAUUCUCUACAGGUUCAGUGGCAUUGGGUUAUUGGUUUGAUAGACUUGGUAUCAACUUGAUACAGGUUUUACAUGGUUGCAGAAGGCUGUUGUUUAGCAUUGACACAUGUAAGAAUCAAUAACUUUUUGACAGGAUUUGUGAUGAAUUGUUGCAAACAUGUUGUGGUCUGCAGGUUUCAUUGAUCCAUUAUUAUGCUGCUUUGGUUUUCUCCUCAUGGUUGCAGCAAGAUAAACCACUCUUCAAUUUGAUUUCAUAUAGCAUGACACUGCUGUUGGCACAUUCAUGAUCGACCUGGCAUUGCAGACCUUGGAAUAAUGUUGCUGACCUGUGAUGCCUUGCACAUUUAAAGUCAUGUUGGUAUGUAUC